UGAACUCUUAGUGCUUAUGGCAAGGCUUGACUUGACGGUGGAUUUUUCGGAAUUCUCUUGCUUCUAUGAUUUUGUUUUCUUCAUGUGUCGAGAAAAUGGUCAAAAGAAUAUUACUGUAGGCAGUGCAAUAACUGCUUGGAAAUUGGUUCUAGCUGGGCGGUUUCCACUACUUAGCCA